AGAGCGAACGCUGGCGGCAGGCCUAACACAUGCAAGUCGAGCGCGUGUAGCAAUACACGAGCGGCGGACGGGAGAGUAACACGUGGGAACGCGCCCUUCGGUUCGGAAUAACUCAGGGAAACUUGAGCUAAUACCGGAUACGCCCUUACGGGGAAAGAUUUAUUGCCGAAGGAACGGCCCGCGUCCGAUUAGCUAGUUGGUGAGGUAACGGCUCACCAAGGCGACGAUCGGUAGCUGGUCUGAGAGGAUGACCAGCCUCACUGGGACUGAGACACGGCCCAGACUCCUACGGGAGGCAGCAGUGGGGAAUAUUGGACAAUGGGCGCAAGCCUGAUCCAGCCAUGCCGCGUGGAUGAUGAAGGCCUUAGGGUUGUAAAGUCCUUUAACGGGAGAUAAUGACGGUACCGUAGAAUAAGCCCGGCUAACUUCGUGCCAGCAGCCGC
rnacentral:rRNA from 1 species